rnacentral:rRNA from 1 species
GAUGAACGCUAGCGGCAGGCCUAACACAUGCAAGUCGAGGGGCAUCGCGGUGCAGCAAUGCACUGGCGGCGACCGGCGUACGGGUGCGUAACGCGUAUGCAACCUGCCCCGCACCGGGGGAUAGCCCGCCGAAAGGCGGAUUAAUACCCCAUGGGUCCCCGGGGGCCCGCAUGGGCAUCCGGGUAAAGCCUUGGCGGUGCGGGAUGGGCAUGCGUGCCAUUAGCUGGCUGGUGGGGUAACGGCCCACCAGGGCAACGAUGGCUAGGGGGUCUGAGAGGAUGGUCCCCCACACUGGUACUGAGACACGGACCAGACUCCUACGGGAGGCAGCAGUGAGGAAUAUUGGUCAAUGGGCGGAAGCCUGAACCAGCCAUGCCGCGUGCGGGAUGAAGGCCCUACGGGUUGUAAACCGCUUUUCCCCGGGAAGAAUAAGCCCCCCGCGGGGGGUGAUGCCGGUACCGGGGGAAUAAGGAUCGGCUAACUCCGUG